rnacentral:rRNA from 1 species
GUAGGGAAUAUUGGGCAAUGGGAGCAAUCCUGACCCAGCCAUGCCGCGUGAAGGAAGACGGCCCUAUGGGUUGUAAACUUCUUUUGCCGCAGAGUAAACCCGGGGACGCGUCCCCGGUUGAGAGUAUGCGGCGAAUAAGUAUCGGCUAACUCCGUGCCAGCAGCCGCGGUAAUACGGAGGAUACAAGCGUUAUCCGGAUUUAUUGGGUUUAAAGGGUGCGCAGGCGGACCGUUAAGUCAGGGGUGAAAAGUUGGGGCUCAACUCCAAUCGUGCCUUUGAUACUGGCGGACUAGAGUGCGAUAGGCGUGGCCGGAAUGUGGCGUGUAGCGGUGAAAUGCUUAGAUAUGCCACAGAACACCGAUCGAGAAGUCAGGUCACGAGUUCGCAACUGACGCUCAUGCACGAAAGCGUGGGGAUCAAACAGGAUUAGAUACCCUAGUAGUCC